UCUGAGUCCCUGAGGCUGUCCCAA
rnacentral:misc_RNA from 1 species